rnacentral:tRNA from 1 species
GCGAGCGUUUCCGAGCUUGGCCAAAGGAGUCGGACUUAAGAUCCGAUCUCGCAGGAGUCCGCAGGUUCGAAUCCUGCCGCUCGCA